AGCUGAGAGAAGCAAGCCUGACUUCUUCUUUUCAGAGGCACUGUGUUUCUUACUUCCUUUCCAUUAAGAGUUUAAUUAAGAGUUUGAUUAGUUAUUUUGGUUAGUUUGUAUCUCAGCAAGACUAAGAUAUUAGUGAUGGGUAAAGCCUUAAAUCUGAGUAAUUGACUGCCACAAUUUUGGCCAUCAAUAAUAAGCAUAGGAACUGAAAAUUAACAUCCCAUCUUUGAUUAGGAAGAUGACCUGCCAUUCCUAACCACUGCACAAAUAAAAUUAAUCAUAGCACAAAAAAUGCAGUUGCUUAAAGAAAACAUACCAUUUCCUCCACAUGAAGAAAUAAGGUCUGGAAGCUCAUGAAGGUAUUGCUGAAACUGCUUUGAUGAUUGUAACUUCCACACGUUGCGAAGCAAGCAGGUCAGAGGCUGUGGCUUGAAAUAGAGAGGCCCGGCUGGGAAAAAAAGAACAACAAAAUUUUAUUAAGUUCAUCUUGCAAUGCCACCUAACCUUGUAAAGCUGGGGGACAGAAACCUGUAAGACCAACCCUUAGAAACAUUUCUGAAUUUAUAAAAGAAAACAGAAUCUGCUGGCCUCUAUGGAGUGAUAUCAUUUGUCUGAGAAGAAAAUAAUUCUUACCUGACCUGUGACAUGGAAAGUGCUUGCCUUGGAGCUCUAUGAUUUUCAUAGAAAAAAGAUGCCCUUCCUCCGUAUCUUGUGAUGUGCAAUGUUUCAUGUCAGGACAGCUCCCCUGUGAAGGUCAGCAAACAGCAUGAAUGGUUCUCAGCAAGUAGUUCAGAUUCAGGUCAGCUGCCAGGAGAGAAACCCGAAAGUGACAAAUACUGUGUACCUUCUUCUGCCAUAUUGACAGGAUGUGGCUGUGAGUUUAGACAAAAGAUUCUUUUGUCUUUUCUCUUGUGAUGGGGGUGAUGGGAGGGUGCAUAUUGCUGUGCCUAAGACUGUGAAAUCAAGAAUAUG
rnacentral:lncRNA from 1 species